GGCCUAAUGGUCUAGAAGUAUGAUUCUUCCUUCGGGUGGAAGAGGUCCUGGGUUCAAUUCCCAGUUAGGCCC
rnacentral:tRNA from 1 species